rnacentral:lncRNA from 1 species
AACAUCAAGUUACAGCCUUUUCACCUAAUCUCUACCCGUGUGACUUCUACCUAAGAACUCUUAGAUAUGAGAUCCUACUCACUCCUUCUCAAUCACAGCAGUGAUAUAAAACAAGAAUUACAAUGAAAAGAAGACAUUCUUCAAAGACACAUACUUGAUCUUACUUAAAAGCUUCAAUCAAGUAAACACACACUCAUGCUUCAAAGCUUUGAGUGGACAAAUUACAACUCAAAAAUUAGUCCAAUUCAAUCAUCU